GAUCCUGGCUCAGAAUCAACGCUGGCGGCGUGCCUAACACAUGCAAGUCGCACGAGAAAGGGUAGCAAUACCUGAGUAAAGUGGCGCACGGGUGAGUAACACGUGAAUCAUCUACCUCCGAAUGGGGAAUAACUGAGAGAAAUCUUAGCUAAUACCGCAUAAUACCUACGGGUCAAAGCAGCAAUGCGUUUGGAGAGGAGUUCGCGGCAGAUUAGUUAGUUGGCGGGGUAAUGGCCCACCAAGACGAUGAUCUGUAUCCGGCCUGAGAGGGCGCACGGACACACUGGAACUGAAACACGGUCCAGACUCCUACGGGAGGCAGCAGUGGGGAAUUUUGCGCAAUGGGGGAAACCCUGACGCAGCAACGCCGCGUGGAGGAUGAAAUCCCUUGGGAUGUAAACUCCUUUCGAUAGGGAAGAUAAUGACGGUACCUAUAGAAGAAGCCCCGGCUAACUUCGUGCCAGCAGCCGCGGUAAUACGAGGGGGGCAAGCGUUGUUCGGAUUUAUUGGGCGUAAAGGGUGCGUAGGCGGUUUGGCAAGUCUUGUGUGAAAUCUUUGGGCUCAACCCAAAGUCUGCAUAAGAAACUGCCGGGCUUGAGUAUGGGAGAGGUGAGUGGAAUUUCCGGUGUAGCGGUGAAAUGCGUAGAUAUCGGAAGGAACACCUGUGGCGAAAGCGGCUCACUGGACCAU
rnacentral:rRNA from 1 species